UUCGAAAUAGCUCUGCUGGUUCAGUGCAUCCCGAUUUAUCGGGAGGGUUGGGGGUUCGAACCCCUUUCCGAAA
rnacentral:tRNA from 1 species